rnacentral:ncRNA from 1 species
AUAAAGGCAUUGACGAGGAGGAGUACAUUCUUUUGGAUGCAAAGAGAGGGAGCGGCUGGUGAAAGCUCUCGUGAAGAAAGUAUGGAAAGUAGCCUCUGAGCUGUGAACCGAACGGAGAUUUUGUCUCUCAGUAGACUUCAACGGAAUUUCAACCGUCAUCUGGAAAACGAUAUCGGAUAGUUUUUUCUGUCCCGCAUCGGCAAAGCGCAGAGAAUUUUUCUCUGAAUUUGGGUGGUACCACGGACAAUAAUGUUCGUCCCAAGC